UAAGAAAAUGGAGGCACAAUGAGACGAAGU
rnacentral:piRNA from 1 species